UUCAAAUCUAAAUGUGAUCAAAAAUGUUACCAGUGCCUGUCACCACUGAAAGAAAGGGUUUCGGUGACUCACAGAUUAUUUUAUCUUGUUCAGGCAAUAUUUUUCACAAACCUGCAUUUCCUCCAGGGAACAGAGGUGCAGUUUCUUCCUGUCUGCACUUACAGUGACCCAGGGAACAGUCCAAUCACCUGAGUCCGAUUGUGCGGGAGCAGGGGGACCGCUGGGGCUGUCAGAACCUGCUGCCACUGAAGCUGCUGUGGAGGGCACCAAUUCACAUUCUAAAGGGCCACUGAGGACCUCUGAAAAGUCUCCUGACCUGUGGCUGCUGAGGAUCAGUGAUGGGACAGAAAUGGAGCACUCUGGGACUUAGCUGCUAAGCUGUGGGAAUGAGGGGAUGUAAGGGUGAAGAGAGUUUAGCUAUUGUCAGACUAAACUCUUCACCCCAAGGUGGUCCUAGUUGGCAUUAUGGGGGCAUGUGACUUGUGAGCAGAUCUGAGAAUAUUGACGAGCAUUCAAUUGGAUAUGAGAUGUGGGGACACAUUAUAUGAAAACCCCUUGCUUUCUCACCUAGGUCUUGCUUUGAGGAGGCUCUCAAGGGUCUCUUUCCUUCAGUGGGAGAGCCCUUCACAUUUGGUGACAGCGUUGUAUAAAUAAAAGGAAAGGAAAUCCAUCAAAUUAUCUAAAAAAGGCUGACAUCAUUUGACAGACAGCAGCCUCUCUGUCAGAAAAGCAAAUCCUGCAUGUGUACCAUGUAUUGACUAUCUGCGGAAGCUGGGGUCUGCAGCAGGACCAUAUACAUUAUCUGUCUCAUGAUACGAAUCAAGUGGUGAUGUUCUCCAUCUACUCCAGAGACAGCUAGCAGACUGUCUUAGUUACUUUUCUGUUGCUGUAAUGUGACCAAACACCAUGACCAAGAAAACUUACAGACAGAAGAGUUCACUUGGGGCUCACAGUUCCAGAAGGUCAGAGUCCAUUAUCAUUGUGGCAGGGAACAUGGCGGCAGGCAGGCAUGGUAUAGGAGCAGCAGCCGAGAGCUUAUAGUAGGUCCACAAAUAGGAAGUAGAAAGAGUACACUGGGAAUAAUGGGAAGCAAGGCCACACCUCCUAAUCCUUCCCAAACAGCCACCAGCUAGGAACCAACUUUCAAAUGAAGAGACUCACCUGAAAUACUGCACAAUGAUGGUUAUCUGAACUCCAUCCCUUACUACCUCAUUGGAGGUUGUAGGUCUGCUUUAAUCCAGUAUCCUGGUGUGCUCUUUACGGUAUUCUAUUUCAAAGGUCUCUGAGAAUGAAGAGCUGGGCGUUUUAUCACCAUCUAAUAUGCAGUGCUACGCCGCACUCCCCCACCCUACUCCCCUCAGUGCUUCAAGCCCCUCUACAGUUGUACCCCGGCUGCUCUUGUGGGAAGCCAACUUCCUAUUCUCUGCUGUCUCUUGAUUGUCUGAAGAGAGCAGCAUGUCAGCUGCUUGGAGCCACCAUCUCACAGCAAAGGCAUGAUAUAAAGUGCAGAACUCAACCAGGGUGGGUUGCUCCUUGACGGCAUCUCUGCUCAAUGACUGCAUCGGAGGAGAAGGAAGGUGAAGCCCAGGGUUUCCACAGCCGCUUGGCCCAUUUCCCAAAGGUUUACUAGCAGGCUUUUGAAGACAGGAAGUAAGUGGCUAGGGUGUGGCUCAGACCUGGGCUUGUCUCUCUCUUCAAAGACGCUGGGAAGAAAUUUGUAGGUCUUUGUAGGUCAUUCACCUAUUGGGAAGAACCCUGGCAUUCGUGCUGGGUUUGCAGGCCAGACACGUUUCUGAGGUAUACAGUGAAGAUUUAUUUCUCAUUGGACAUAACCAACAGCGUGUAGCCGGGGAGACUGGAGUGGAACACUUGGGAGCUCAGCCCUGCCCAGCCUGAGAAAUGGGCCUGGACUAUGCCUCUCUGGCUUGUCAGCGAGUGCUGGAGGGGGCUUUUGCUAUGGACUGGUUUUCAGCCGAGAAUCACAGAGUGUUAGUCCUGAUUCCAGCUUCUUACCUGCUUUUUCUUUUUAUGUUAGAUCCUUACAUGGUUUUGAUAGUGAAAUUAGCAAACAUAGGUGGACAGAAAGGAAAAAGAAAAGCACCAUAAAAGGAAAAUUACCCAGGAGAAAGCAUCGUGUUCCCCACUCGGGUUAACAGCUUUUAAGACUGCCAGACACUCUUUCAGGGCUGAGCGGAUGUCCCUUGGAGCAUAGAUCAAUUAGCACACUAUGUUAUACUUUCUGUCGCUACUUUGUAAAUUUACAGAUAGUAAAUUUACAUCAUAAGCUUGGCCUGAUGUUUUCAAAGAAAUUCCUCCCUAUUAAACAAAUUUUAAACAAUA